rnacentral:tRNA from 1 species
GUCCCAGGCAGUGAAAUGGUUACCAUACUUAGUUGCUAACCAAAAGGUCGGUGGUUCGAGUCCACUCAGAGGCA